UACGUAGGGUGCGAGCGUUAAUCGGAAUUACUGGGCGUAAAGCGUGCGCAGGCGGUUUUGUAAGCCAGAUGUGAAAUCCCCGGGCUUAACCUGGGAAUGGCAUUUGGGACUGCAAGGCUGGAGUGCGGCAGAGGAGACUGGAAUUCCUGGUGUAGCAGUGAAAUGCGUAGAGAUCGUGAGGAAGACCAGUGGCGAAGGCGGGUCUCUGGACAGUUCCUGACACUGAGGCACGAAGGCCAGGGGAGCAAACGGG
rnacentral:rRNA from 1 species